rfam:Lupinus angustifolius cultivar Tanjil contig_1836, whole genome shotgun sequence.
UGGUGUGAUCAUACAAGCACUAAUGCACCGGAUCCCAUCAGAACUCUGCGUAUAACUGUGCUUAGGAGAGAGUAGUACUAGGAUGGGUGACCUCCUAGGAAGUCCUCGUGUUGCACCUC